AUGCCCUGUAAAAAUGUCCAGUGGCAAUAUAGACCCCACAGUAGUAGAUUUAGGCUUGUAGAUAUUAGACUUGUUUUUCCACUUACUUUUCACAGGUCCUUUAGAAUUAGGUUAGAAUUAGGCCUACAGGCCAGUCAGCGUGGGUCACUGCUUGUGAGUCCUGUAAAGGCAGAGAAAGGAGAGAGGAUCCUGCCUGCAGCAGGUGGUUCCGAAGGCAUUUCAACCAAUUGCUAUCUGGAGGAGAGGGAAAGGAAAAGAAAUGUCCUUUGGAGAAAGACAAACAUUGGAGGUAAAGGAAGAUUACACGGAAUCCUGAAACAGGUGUUCCUAGGACUAUCAUUUCACUUGUGUUUCAUGACUGAGUGCGCUGAGCAGACAGGAGAGGGUCCCAGUUACCUGCAAUGUACCAGGCAACAUCAGGCAAUGUAUCAGGCAAUAUCUACAGUGAUCUUUCUUCCAGGUGGCCAGGGACCUCCUGCCUGCUCCUCCCAGGUGUUUGCCAGAGGUGGGAUCCCACAUGGGCUCAGGGCAGCCCCCUUUGCCCCUCUCCAGCCUGCCCAGCACCUCUCAGAUGCAUCACAGCCUCUUGCCAACAACUAA
rnacentral:lncRNA from 1 species